CCCACGCCCAGGCCGAAAGUUCAAGUUGUUAUUUCUUCUUAUUGGAGGGAAAUACAAAUAGUUGUCCUCACAGUUUGGGGAGUAGUGACCCUGAUCUGUGGAGCCUUCAUCUUUGGCCAGAGCACAACCAUCGCUGUCAUGCAGCUCCUAGGAAGGAUCUGACUGUUCCACUUCCCUCGAUGAUCCAGGUGUAUUCCUGGAGAUAGUAGUGACCAGAACUGAACUUGUACUCCUCACCUAGAGAGUCCAUGCUGAAUUAUGGUCACCGUGGACUAAAAACGAACAUGACCCUCGAACAAUCAAGAGGCCCCUCAAAACUUGCAACUAUAGCCUUUUAAAAAAAACAGACUAAACCCAGUUAACGUCCCUCCUCCCUUCAGUGUCACUGUUACUUUCACAUGGGUUAUUUGUGUGUAGUUGCACCCUGAUGAUCAGCUCUGUCUGCCUCUUGCCAUUCUGAGACGAUUGAAAUCCUCAGGUAUUUCUACCCUUUGUUGUAUUGCAGUUGAUCUUCUGUUGUCACAUGUAUCAGUGCAUAAUUGUGCAUAUGGGUAUUCAACCCGCCUGUAUUCAGUCUCUAGGUAAGAUGAAGAGCUUUAAACUGAGUGAAUGAGGAAACAUAACACAACAUAAACUCCCAGAACACUGUACAAAUAUAAAGUUAAAACGGUAAUUAUUAUAUCUGCUAAGCGUGGUGCAUUACUCCAGGAGAGCUUCAUGCUGUCCUUUAGUGUAGUUUUUACAUCAUUUGCACACUUUGUAUGUUACCACGAGAAUAUGUGUUGAGUGGCAGUAUUUACAAGACUGAAAUGACAGGUUGCUUGAAGGUGCCACAAGAGGUGGAGUAGGAGGAUAUUUUCUUGUUUGUUUAUAUUUGGAGGAGUCUGUAAAUAAGUUCUAUUUUGUAUGUUUAAAAAGGAGGUGCUUUCUGAUAUUUGAUAAAUUAGUAAUGAUGUGAAAAGUAGUUAUGUUAACAGUGAAUACUGGGUCAAUGAAAAGAUAAUUGAA